rfam:Gossypium raimondii Chr08_contig_782, whole genome shotgun sequence.
CACGUCAGCACGCUAUGCUGAUGUGGCAACAAAGCGCUGCCUCUAGGACGUGAUUUCCUGCCACGUUAGCAAAGCGCGUUGACGUGG